CACGCCGUAAACGGUGGAUGCUGGAUGUGGGGCCCUUCCACGGGUCCCGUGUCGGAGCCAACGCGUUAAGCAUCCCGCCUGGGGAGUACGGCCGCAAGGCUAAAACUCAAAGAAAUUGACGGGGGCCCGCACAAGCGGCGGAGCAUGCGGAUUAAUUCGAUGCAACGCGAAGAACCUUACCUGGGCUUGACAUGUUCCCGACGACGGCGGAGACGUCGUUUCCCUUCGGGGCGGGUUCACAGGUGG
rnacentral:rRNA from 1 species